rnacentral:rRNA from 1 species
CGACCUACCCUAAAGACGAGGAUAACCAUUGGAAACAGUGGCUAAGACUGGAUAGGAAGAUAAAAGGCAUCUUGUAUCUUUUAAAAGACCUAGUUAAUAGGUAUGCUUUAGGAGGGGCUUGCGCCAUAUUAUUAAGUUGGUAGGGUAAUGGCCUACCAAGACGAUGAUGUGUAGCUGGACUGAGAGGUUGAACAGCCACAUUGGGACUGAGACACGGCCCAAACUCCUACGGGAGGCAGCAGUAGGGAAUUUUCGGCAAUGGAGGAAACUCUGACCGAGCAACGCCGCGUGAAUGACGAAGUACUUCGGUAUGUAAAGUUCUUUUAUCGAGGAAGAAAAGCAAAUGGCGAACCAUUUGUUUGCCGGUACUUGAUGAAUAAGCCCCGGCUAAUUAUGUGCCAGCAGCCGCGGUAAGACAUAAGGGGCAAGUGUUAUCCGGAAUUAUUGGGCGUAAAGGGUGCGUAGGCGGUCUAGUAAGUCAGUGGUGUAAUGGCAACGCUUAACGUUUCCCGGCUAUUGAAACUGCUAAACUUGAGUUAGAUAGAGGCGAGUGGAAUUCCAUGUGUAGCGGUAAAAUGCGUAAAUAUAUGGAGGAACACCAGAGGCGUAGGCGGCUCGCUGGGUCUUAACUGACGCUGAGGCACGAAAGCGUGGGGAGCAAACAGGAUUAGAUACCCUGGUAGUCACGCCGUAAACGAUGAGUACUAAGUGUCGGGUUAAACCGGUACUGAAGUUAACACAUUAAGUACUCCGCCUGAGUAGUACGUACGCAAGUAUGAAACUUAAGGAAUUGACGGGACUCCGCACAAGCGGUGGAUCAUGUUGUUUAAUUCGAAGAUACCCGAAAAACCUUACCAGUCUUGACAUGUUUUUGCAAAAUGAUAGUAAUAUCGUGGAGGUUACCAGAAACACAGGUGGUGCAUGGUUGUCGUAGCUCGUGUCGUGAGAUGUUAGGUUAAGUCCUAAAACGAGCGAAACCCUUAUCGUUAGUUGCCAGCACGUUAUGGUGGGGACUUUAACGAGACUGCCAAUGAUAAAUUGGAGGAAGGUGAGGAUCACGUCAAAUCAGCAUGCCCCUUAAUACCUGGGCUACAAACGUGAUACAAUGGCUGUUACAAAGGGUAGCUGAAACGCAAGUUCUUGGCCAAUCCCCAAAACAGUCCCAGUCCGGAUUGAAGUCUGCAACUCGACUUCAUGAAGUGGAAUCGCUAGUAAUCGCGAAUCAGCAUUCGCGGUGAAUACGUUCUCGGGGUUUGUACACACCGCCCGUCA